GACAGAGGUGCCGAGCGUUGGGCGGAAUCACUGGGCUUAAAGCGUGUGUAGGCGGAUCUGUAAGUACCUUGUGAAAUCCCACGGCUCAACCGUGGAACUGCUUGGUAUACUGCGGGUCUUGAGCCACCUAGGGGCAAGUGGAACAAACGGUGGAGCGGUGAAAUGCGUAGAUAUCGUUUGGAACGCCAAUGGUGAAAACAACUUGCUGGGGGUGUGCUGACGCUGAGACACGAAAGCCAGGGGAGCAAACGGG
rnacentral:rRNA from 1 species